GUCAAUGGCCAUACCUCCCUGAAAGCAUCUGAUUUCAUCUAAUCUCAGAAGCUAAGCUGAGUAGGGCUUGGUUAGUACUUGAAUGGAAGAGUGGAGUAACAGAUAUUGGAGACU
rnacentral:rRNA from 1 species